AAAGCGAUUGGUAUCAUCUUACACACAGUUGAAUACUUUUUUUUCCCUCUUUUUCCUUCGUGUUUUCUUCUUUUUGCU
rnacentral:ribozyme from 1 species